GCUUUUGUUAAAGUUGGUGCCACUGUUGAGGAUAUUAGAAAGGUGGUUGUGGAAGCCAAAACUGUUGUUGCAUCAGUUGUUGUGGUGUCAGACAGAGUUGUUGUUAAUGCAUCAGUUGUUGUUGAUACUGGCGCUACAGUUGAGGACGUUGUAGGAGUGAUUGUGGAAGCCAAAGUUGUUGUUGCAUCUAUCAUUGUUGUGGUAUCAGGAAUACUUGUGGUUGCUGCAUCAGAUGUUGUUGCCGUUGGUUCUACCGUUGAGGAUGUUGAAAAGGUGGUUGUGGAAGUCAAAGAUGUUGAUGUAUCAAUUGUUGUUGUGGUGUCAGACAUAGUUGUUGUUGAUGCAUCAGUUGUUGUUGAUUCUUGCGCUACAGUUGAGGAUGAUGUAGGAGUGAUUGUGGAAGCCAAAGUUGUUGUUGCAUCUAUCAUUGUUGUGGUAUCAGGAAUACUUGUGGUUGCUGCAUCAGAUGUUGUUGACGUUGGUUCAACCGUUGAGGAGGUUAGAAAGGUUGUUGUGGAAGCCAAAGAUGUUGUUGUAUCAAUUGUUGUUGUGGUUUUAGGCAUAGUUGUGGUUGCUGCAUCAGAUGUUGGUGACGAUGGUUCAACCGUUGAGGAUGUUGAAAAGGUGGUUGUGGAAGCCAAAGAUUUUGUUGUAUCAAUUGUUGUUGUGGUGUCAGGCAUAGUUGUGGUUGCUGCAUCAGAUGUUGAUGCUGGUGCUAUAGUGCUCGAUGUCAGAGUUGUGGUUGUGGAAGCCAAAAUUGUUGUUGCAUUAGUUGUUGUUUUGGUGUCAGACAGAGUUGUUGUUGAUGCAUCAGUUGUUGUUGAUACUGGCGCUACAGUUGAGAAUGUUGUAGGAGUGAAAGUGGAAGCCAAAGUUUUUGUUGCAUCUAUCAUUGUUGUGGUAUCAGGAAUACUUGUGGUUGCUGCAUCAGAUGUUGUUGACAUUAGUUCAACCGUUGAGGAUGUUAGAAAAGUGGUUGUGGAAGCCAAAGAUGUUGUUGUAUCAAUUGUUGUUGUGGUGUCAGGCAUAGUUGUGGUUGCUGCAUCAGAUGUUGAUGCUGGUGCUAUAGUGCUCGAUGUCAGAGGUGUGGUUGUGGAAGCCAAAAUUUUUGUUGCAUCAGUUGUUGUUGUGGUGUCAGACAGAGUUGUUGUUGAUGCAUCAGUUGUUGUUGAUACUGGCGCUACAUUUAAGGAUGUUGUAGGAGUGAUUGUGGAAGCCAAAGUUGUUGUUGCAGCUAUCACUGUUGUGGUAUCAGGUAUACUUGUGCUUGCUGCAUCAGAUGUUGUUGACGUUGGUUCAGCCAUUGAGGAUGUUGGAAAGGUGGUUGCCAAAGAUGUUGUUAUAUCAAUUGUUGUUGUGGUGUCAGGCAUAGUUGUGGUUGCUGCAUCAGAUUUUUUUGACGUUGGUUCAACCGUUGAGGAUGUUGAAAAGGUGGUUGUGGAAGCCAAAGAUGUUGUUGUAUCAAUUGCUGUUGUAUCAAUUGUUGUUGUGGUGUCAGACAUAGUUGUUUUUGAUGCAUCAGUUGUUGUUGAUAUUGGCACUACAGUUGAGGAUGUUGUAGGAAUGAUUGUGGAAGCCAAAGUUGUUGUUGCAUCUAUCAUUGUUGUGGUGUCAGGAAUACUUGUGGUUGCUGCAUCAGAUGUUGUUGACGAUGGUUCAACCGUUGAGGAUGUUGAAAAGGUGGUUGUGGAAGCCAAAGAUAUUAUUGUAUCAACUGUUGUUGUAUCAAUUGUUGUUGUGGUGUCAGACAUAGUUGUUGUUGAUGCAUGAAUUGUUGUUGAUACUGGCGCUACAGUUGAGGAUGUUGUAGGAAUGAUUGUGGAAGCCAAAGUUGUUGUUGCAUCUAUCAUUGUUGUGGUAUCAGGAAUACUUGUGGUUGCUGCAUUAGAUGAUGUUGACGUUGGUUUAACCAUUGAGGAUGUUGAAAAGGUGGUUGUGGAAGCCAAAGAUGUUAUUGUAUCAAUUGUUGUUGUAUCAAUUGUUGUUGUGGUGUCAGACAUAGUUGUUGUUGAUGCAUGAGUUGUUGUUGAAACUGGCACUACAGUUGAGGAUGUUGCAGGAAUGAUUGUGGAAGCCAAAGUUGUUGUUGCAUCUAUCAUUGUUGUGGUGUCAGGAAUACUUGUGGUUGCUGCAUCAGAUGUUCUUGACGUUGUUUUAACCAUUGAGGAUGUUGGAAAGGUGGUUGCCAAAGAUGUUGUUGUAUCAAUUGUUGUUUUGGUGUCAGGCAUAGUUGUGGUUGCUGCAUCAGAUAUUGAUGCUGGUGCCAUAGUGGUCGAUGUCAGAGGUGUGGUUGUGGAAGAGAAAAUUGUUGUUGCAUCAGUUGUUGUUGUGGUGUCAGCCAGAGUUGCUGUUGAUGCAUCGGUUGUUGUAGCAAAAGUUGUAGUUGCAUCAAUAGUUGUUGUGGAGUCAGCUGUAGUUGUGGUUGCUCCCUCUAUUUUUGACACUAUAGUUGAGGAUUUUGGAGGGGUGGUUGUGGAAGCCAAACUUGUUGCAUCAGUAGUUAUUGUGGCGUCAGACAGCGUUGUGGUUGAUGCAUCAGUUAUUGAUGCUGGUUCUAUAGUUGAGGAUGUUGGGGGGGGGGUUGUGUAAGCCAGCUUUGUUGUUGAAUAAAUAGUUGUUAUGGUGUCA
ensembl:lncRNA